GAGAAAGUGAUAAUGGUUAUUAAGUUGGCUUGAAACCAUCAUUUGAAGGUUCGAUUCCUUCCUUUCUUA
rnacentral:tRNA from 1 species